UACGUAGGGGGCAAGCGUUGUCCGGAAUCAUUGGGCGUAAAGCGCACGUAGGCGGCGCCGCAAGUGUGGGGUGAAAGCCCACGGCUUACCCGUGGAAUUGCCUGGCAGACUGCGGUGCUAGAGUGUGGUAGGGGAGAGCGGAACUCCUGGUGGAGCGGUGAAAUGCGUAGAUAUCAGGAGGAACACCGGUGGCGAAGGCGGCUCUCUGGUCCACAACUGACGCUGAGGUGCGAAAGCUAGGGGAGCAAACGGG
rnacentral:rRNA from 1 species